GAUGAACGCUGGCGGUAUGCUUAACACAUGCAAGUCGAACGGACUCUUCGGAGUUAGUGGCGGACGGGUGAGUAACGCGUGAGAAUCUGGCUUUGGGUUCGGGACAACCACUGGAAACGGUGGCUAAUACCGGAUGUGCCGAGAGGUAAAAGAGAAAUUGCCUGAAGAUGAGCUCGCGUCUGAUUAGCUAGUUGGUGAGGUAAAGGCUCACCAAGGCCGCGAUCAGUAGCUGGUCUGAGAGGAUGACCAGCCACACUGGGACUGAGACACGGCCCAGACUCCUACGGGAGGCAGCAGUGGGGAAUUUUCCGCAAUGAGCGAAAGCCUGACGGAGCAAUACCGCGUGAGGGAAGAAGGCUCUUGGGUUGUAAACCUCUUUUCUUAGGGAAGAACAAAAUGACGGUACCUAAGGAAUCAGCAUCGGCUAACUCCGUG
rnacentral:rRNA from 1 species